AUGGUCAAGGGCAUGCCCCCCUUCCACCACUCCGAGCAGGUUUGCGACGCCUGCCUAGUGGGAAAGCAGCGGCGAGCGCCAUUCCCUCAGCAAGCCAACUACCGUGCCACUGAGCCGCUUGAGCUCGUACACGGUGACCUUUGCGGGCCGAUCUCGCCGCCCACACCGGGCGAGAAGCGAUACUUUCUUUUGCUCGUGGAUGAUCACAACAGGUUUAUGUGGCUGUACCUGCUCCAGAGCAAGGAUGAGGCCGCCGAGGCGAUCCAGCGCUUUCAAGCACUCGCAGAGCGCGAGUCAGGACGGAAGCGGCGCACGUUCCGCUCUGACCGAGGCUGGGAGUUCAACUCCGGCAACUUCAGCGCACACCUUGCCGAUCUUGGAGUCCAGAGACACCUCACCGCGCCAUACUCGCCCCAGCAGAAUGGCGUGGUGGAGAGACGCAACGAAACCGUCGUUGGGACGGCCCGGUGCAUGCUCAAGGCGAUGGGAGUGCCGUCGCAAUUCUGGGGCGAGGCCGUGUCCACGGCCGUCUUCGUGCUCAACCGAGCGUACUCUAGGAGCGUGCCGGGGAGGACGCCAUUCGAGGCCUGGCACGGCAGGAAGCCCUCCGUCGAUUUCCUGCGCGUGUUCAGGAGCGUGGCGCACGUCAAGAACACGCGUCCACACCUCUCCAAGCUUGAAGACAGGAGCAAGGCCAUGGUGAUGUUCGGGUACGAACCUGGAAGCAAGGCGUACCGGCUCUACGACCCGGUGGGGAAGCGCGUUCACGUCUCUCGUGAUGUCGUUUUCGACGAGACGCGAGCGUGGGACUGGGAGAAGAGCAGCACGGACCAGGCAGGUAUGAGCUUUGUGAUUGAGCCCAUAGCAAUUCUCUCUGGCGGUUCGCCACCUGCGGCAGGCUCUUCUUCGUCUCCCGAUGUUGCGCAGUCAUCGGCUCAGUCGGCGUCUCCUGCAAGGACGCCACCUACGACAGCAGCACCC
rnacentral:rRNA from 1 species